AACGUAGGAGGCGAGCGUUGUCCGGAAUUACUGGGCGUAAAGGGCGUGUAGGUGGCCUGUGAAGUCGAAAGUGAAAACCUGGGGCUUAACCCCGGGCCUGCUUUCGAAACCAGCAGGCUUGAGGACAGGAGAGGGAAGCGGAAUUCCCAGUGUAGCGGUGAAAUGCGUAGAUAUUGGGAGGAACACCAGUGGCGAAAGCGGCUUCCUGGCCUGUAAUUGACAAUGAGGCGCGAAAGCGUGGGGAGCAAACAGG
rnacentral:rRNA from 1 species